rnacentral:lncRNA from 1 species
GUCGGGCAGUGGCGUCGCUGAGGGGUAAUGUUGUUUUUAAACUUGGGUUUUGUUUCUAUGGCUCACUGUAUGAUAUUUAUACCCCUUAGGGCUCGUCCAAGUGGUCUCUCCUAGAUCCCUAACCUCCCUUUCAUUUUCAAAUACUCUUCUAAGCAUUUUUCUAACUUCUCCAAUCAUCCUAAUUUUAGAAAACCCUUCCUCUACCAUUUCAGCAUCACUUUUUCAACCAAGUUUGGGGUUUUGUGAGAGCAUAGCUAUUUGGGGUUGAUUCCUCCACAUUUUUUUUGAAGAAGUUUUGUGUUUUACUAACGUUUAAUGAGAUUCCUUAUGGUUUUGUGAAUUGAACUUAGUGUAGGGAUGGCCUCCUCAUCAGGAAAGAGGAUCAAGAUUGUGGGGAACAAGAGGAAAAAAAUCAGAGUUGGAGCAGCUAAAGCUCCAACUAUGGAGGAAGAUGAUGAGGACGAUGAUUUUUGAAGAUGUAGAAAAAGGAGAGGAGGAGGACUCUGAUGACAACAUGGGCUGAGGAGAUGAGAUAGUGUCUACUGAUGGAUGCUAUCUACAAUAGAGCAGGAUUUAUUUUAUAGCUUUUGCUUUUGUAUUUUGAACUUAUUUGUUUCUGUUAAGUAGUGUAGGAUUGAUGAACUUGGUUGGACACUAUAUUUGAUGCAGUGGUUUGAUAAUGAUAUUUGUGUGUGAUGGGUAAUUGCUUGAUGAUGCUUGAUGUUGAAUAUGUGCAAUAUGCUGUUAUACAGGUGGUAGUUCACAAGCUAUGUGAACAGAUGCAUGAUGAUGUUGUGAUUGUGAUUAUGAUGCUAAGCAGGAUGUUUAUCUAGAAUAGUGAUUG